UCCCCCUCACCCCACCCCCCGUAAAGAAAAUCACGAAGGUGCUAAGUGGUAGGCACGGCCUGAUCUAGGAGUUGAGUUUUUCAGUGAACUCAGAAGGGGAAGCAAAACAAACUUACCCUGUUCUCAGCUGUGGGUUAAAAUAACGAAUAAUGAAAUAAAGUAAACUGGGUGAGUGAGAGGUUCUACCGGGAGAAGUGAUUUAAAAUGCUCUCCUGGCCUUUCCCGGCUGUUCUCCUUCCUGUGCGAGUCCUUGAGUCCUUCCCUCCCACCCAGCCACCGGAGGCCCAGUGCUGUCUUCCAGGUUUUGCUUCUCGUCUUCCUGAAGCUCAUAGUGCUGUCUUAUGCGUCUUCUGUCUUCCCUGAUAUUUACUUUCAUUUUAUUUUCUCUUCAUACUUUAGCCCCCUUUCCACUAGGUGCAGCUCAGAUCCUUUAUACUGUUCUCGGUCUUCUUCAUUUUAAAUUACAAACUCACCUCUCUUUUGCUUCUGGUCCUCAGGUGUUUUCUCCUUACAUUAUGAUGUUCUUCCUUUUAUGUUAUUUCAAGUUCCUAUUAUUUAGUUUCAAUAAUUUGUGCAGCAGAAAGGCAAGGAGAGCAGGAACAACUACACAAAGAACAAUUAGGGAGAAUGGCUCAGCUCUGCAAGGGGCAGUGAAACAAUGGUGGUUGCAAAAGUGAAUUGUAUGUGUAUUUUUUUUUUUAAUAAUGUUAAUAGAUUUUUCUAAAUGGCUGUUGGUUUUGGAAGAGGAACAUUUUUUUCCCUGCUUUUAUCUUUCACUGAUUCAAAAAUAAAUUCAAAUUAUCCAUCACAUUCAAAGAUUAAGGAAAAACAUACUUUUAAAAUAUAUGUGAAAUAUAAAGAUUUUAAAUAGUGGUUUUUUUUUUUAAUUUUAAGGGUUAGUAAUACUAUACUACACAAUAAUAAAUAGUAUAUUGAGGAAAAGAAUGUGUGAAUGACGUAUGAUUCCUUUAGAAGAAGAAAAUUCCAAUUUUCAGAUUGCAGAGAAGCACCUGAAAUAUGUUUUAUACGUACCUGAUAAUGUACAGAGGAUAAAUUUUAAGAUACUCUUUUCUGGUCAUCAUCGAGUAUAUAUGAUGUCACAGGUAUUCAUUGGCAAACUUUCAGAACGUUGAAAAUUUAGUGAUACUAAGGUUGACUAUUAUUAUUGACAAGCUAUCUUUUAUGUGUGUUAGUUUGUUUCCAAGCUAGUGGUCUUGGCGAGGGUGAGUGUCUGGCCUGUGUUACGAUUAGUCAUAAGGAACAGGAGGUGCAAAUGGUUUCUAACAAAAGCACCCUUUAAGGUUACCUUAAUUGUUCUUUCCUGCCAGAACCCUAAAAACAAUACUCCAGAGCAUAAGAUUGUUAAAAAUGUGAAAUUUUCCUUGAAAUAUCGAGUGAGACAUAAAGAUCUAGAGAGAUGGUUGUGAAAAUGUGGAUUUUAUAGUAUUUAGUCACCAUCUCAGAGUCUUUGAGAAGAGAAAAUGCGGACAGUUUUCUUUGUGAUCUGGAGCAUUUUCCCUCAGUUUUACUUCAUGUGUUCUUUCCUCACAUUUGAUUCUGAACUGCAGUGAUUAUCUUGGUAUGAAUAAUAAUUUACAGAUUAAAAAAUGUGUAUAGAACCCAUUUUGGCUUAUGCAUUUUGCCACAUUUAUUGCUCCUUUUAAAAUUUUAUAUGUUCUAAGAAAAUGCGUUUAUUACAAUUCUAAUAUUGAAAUAUUCAACACGUUAAAGGUAGGUACAAAUUUUAAACUAUUUAACAAAAUGCUUUACUGCUGUUUGUCUUUUGUGACAAAGGUCUGUUUUAUAUUAAGUUUAUGAUUUCUGGAAAACUAUUUAAGACUAAUAAAAAUUAUCUGGCUCUUUCUUGGACCUGUAACAGCAGACGGUGACCGUGUUAGGCUUGACUCUGGAGCGAUCAGGAUACAAAGCUUGAGAAAAUGGCACAAGACGAAUUUAAAGAGUGCUGAACCAAGGGUCCCUUCACUUUACAGGAGCUACCCCACAUUUAGCAAAAUGGUAGGCUGCAGGCAGCCACUCUUAUGCAACUGAGGCAGCAUUGGUGUUGAGUGGUUUCCCAGGCAUCGGUGCCCUUGCCUCUUUUCGAAAAUGUUCCUGCCCUGUGAGAAUUCAUAACUAGUCUACAUUUAUAUAGCUGUAAUCUCUUACAAUAGCUUCAUUGAUACUUGAUCUCCAUAGAAAAGCUUUAUGGGUUCUAAUGAGUCACUGCUCUUGAGGCACCAGCCGCCCUCCCUAUCUGUGAGUGGCUUUGUGUCCUGUGUUGUACUGAUUGUGCCUUUGGAUGACAACUUACUUGAGUGAUGGAGAGAGGCAGGGUAAUUUAUUAAAAGUAAUUACAAAGAAACCUAACAAAAAGAGUAAUUACAGUGCUGUUAAUAUGCAAUUCGUUAUUUUAUUGCUGCAAUAUUUAGAACUGGGUCUUAUUUGUGGGUCUCCCUUUUUUCCUUGUAAAUCUCUGGCAAAUACAUAAUUUAUUAAAUUCUCUAUACCUAGGUCUCAAAGUAGAUUUGGUUUUACAAAAUCUUGGCUUUUUCUGCCUUUUUUUUUUUUUAAACUGGACCGAGGAAGAAUGGCUGAGAAAAUGUAUUUUUGGUAGCCUCAGGAAAGGAGGCUGAUCUGCAUAAUUUUAUGCCAUUAAAUUUUCAUCUGUUCCAUAGAUUUAUUUUUUUAAGAAUCUGCACCUUUAAGAAAAUGUUCUAAGAAUUUUGAGUGUACUGAAAUUCCUUCCAUUUUCAACUAGCAUAACGGAGAAAAUUAAAGUACAGUCAUCCACUUACCUCACGCACUUAUUCACGUAUUUUAAAAAGAAUCUGUGAAUGGGACUAUUAAUAUAAUAAUAGCUGACACUUGUCAUGUGUCAAGCUCUAUUCUAAGUGCUUUGCAUGUACCCGCUCAUGUAAAUGUACCAUUAAAGUAGUACCACCAACCAGCAAUGUGCUAUGAGGAUGUUGUAGACGGGGGCAAACGCUUUGUGAAAGUAGGUGAGGUAUAAACAAAUCAAAUAAUUGCUGCAGAAAAGAAUGCUUUGGGCAAGAUUUAAACAAAUUUUUUUAGCCCAGGCUAUUGAUAGCCCUAGACCACGAGCAUAAAGGACGCAUCUCUAAAUGAGGAAAAUCCUAGCCAGCGAAUGUUUUGAAAACACAUGAAAGUGUGCAGAUAAUUACACUAUUGUUGAUUUUAGCAGAUCUGAUGCCAGCAGCCAGCAACUCUUCUGUGCCAUGAAAGAUGAAAGCCAUUUUAAUAUAAAACAUGAGUGUGGCUGGAACAGGGAGGCGGGCAGAGAACAAUCUCGUGCCUUUUUAGUUACUUUUAUAGGAAGCAUUAGUUACAUUCCUGUGAUAGAAUGCUUUACUUGGCCAUCAUUCUCAUCUCAGGCGUUUUAAUGAUUGCUGUUUUGCGCCUAGCAUCAUACAGUAGUAAUAAGAUGCGUUAUUUUAGUAGGACCUACUGAUGUCAGUGUCGUUUAGGACCUGUGAAUGUUUCCAUUCAUCUUCUAUUUCAGGAGGCGGACACUAUUAUGUGUCUUUAGGUAUAGCUGACAUGUAUUUCACUUACGUUUCUGGGUCUCUGAGUGCAGCAGAACUGACACUCAAGCCUUUUAUUUUAUCUCCAGCACUUAGGGAAGGACCUGAUUACAUGCAGCCUUGAUUACUAUUUGUUGAAUGAGUUAGAUGAAUGAUUCCCACACAUGGCACUUACCUUCCUAAAUCAUACUUGGCGAUUACAUUUUUUAAAAAUUGUAACGUCCCAGUUCUUGUUUAAUUAUUUUGAUCUUUAAUGACAGAGGUUUUCACGAAGGCACAUUGGGGAGAGCUUUCCUGGUUGUCAUGGGUCAUCUUUUUCAUCUCGUCUAUAAAGAGAGCUCAGAGCCAGGAAGACCUGACCCUGGUCCCAACUCUGCCACCCAAUCAUGUGCUCCCUGAGUUUGUCACUUGACUUCUGCUUUCAUCUGAAAAUCCUUUCAUUUAACAGGCCAGUUAGGCCAGUGUACCUUAAUGAUAAGAUUAAUGUGUGUGUUUGGCCUUGACUCUUUCUUAUACUUUUAUGAUGUAAUUUUUCUUUUGUCCAUUUUUGGUAUUUAGGAGGCUUAUAUUUUUGUUAUAGUGGUUACUUUGACAUAAUAAUACAUUUUGGUUUCUUUUCUUCACUUUAUUUAUUUUUUUGCUCUUGUGUAUUGAUUUCCUGCUGUGAGCAGUAGUGAAAUUAGAUGUUAACCUUUUCUUGCCCCUCCUCUUUUGAUCUUCUGUCAUGUGACUUGAAAUACUGUUUUUUUGCUUCAGUUAAACACCUUUAACACAGCCAACAAGCUGACAGUAUUUAUACAGUCUUCCCAUUUCCUCCUCUUUUUUUUUUUUUUGAUAGUUGUACUAGAUUUACAGUGUCAGCGCAUGUAGACAUAGUAUACCAUAUGCUUUAUAAAAUCACAUAGUUUUAAUUCUGCAAGUAAAUUUAUAAUGCUCAUCAGCUGCCCUUAUAUAACUGAUCUUCAGCAAUUGGGAUUUUUUGAAGCUAGUUCCAGAGUGGAUUUCUCAGGAAGAGCUUGGGGCAACUAUAUUUCCUGAGGUCUUGCAUUUUAAUAAGUUUGUGCUCUUUCCAUGUGAGGGUCAGUUCAACUAGACACAAAAUUUUGGAUUCAUGUUUUCUUUGUUUAAGUGUCUUGAGUAUGUUACUCCAUUGUCUUGCAUGAAGUCUUCUGCUCGUCUCAAUUCUUCCCCUCAGAGUGACCUGGUCUUUUCUCUUGGACAUCCAGAUCAUUUCUUCUUUAAAUUCCAAAAAUGUUACUUGGGUAUGUCUCAUUGUGGGCUAGUUUUCACAGUUGUCCAUUGGCUUUUGAGCUUUAUUUGCCUCAUUUGUAAAAUGAGAAUAAUGGUAACUUUUUUUUUUUUUUUUUUGCUACUCAAAGUGGAUUUGAAGACCACCUAAGAUACUGUAUAUAAAGUGCUUUACAUUUAUUUUAGUUUCUGUGACUCUUCAAAGUCCCCUGUUGUUAGGAACUUUAAAAUUUAGAGUAUUUUAUGGGCAUUUGGACUUGAGUUGGCUUUAUAUUUGGGAUAAAUCUAAAGUGGAUUCUCUGAAGUCUUUUGUCUGCAUUUUAGCGAUGUGUAAAUGCAUGCCGACUCCUUGCGGUAAGCAGGCGGUCUGUGCCCAUGCGUGGAGAACUUCUGGCCUAAAAACAGUGGUGCUUUUUGAAAGAAUCUCACGUAGAAAACACUUCCUCCAUUAUAUUCUACUCACACUCUUCUCACACUUAGUUUCCCACAUAAAACUGGGUUUACAUGACCGUAGUCUACGUGUAGAACAAUAACACAGGAAAAAAAAAUUUUGUUUUUCAAAUAAUGAGAGCUGAAAACUCAAGUCAGUUCUCAUCAGCCAACAUGUUUUCUUGGAUUUGCUGUACAUAAGUCCUAUAUAAGAAGCUGCUGGAAAAUACCAGAGACACAGGAGAUGUCAUUUCUGGCCAUGGGAGAUAAAACACACACAUAUCAAAGAUCAUUUACAAAGCAGCAUGUGAUAAAUAAAUUCAAACCAGUGUGGCACAAACUAAGGACAUGAGUAUAUGAUGCAUUUUACCUGAGGCUACCCUGGACUCGAGUUUCCACGCCUGGGCCAUGUUUUGAUAAAGCAACCUUUACACAUGCAGCCUGGAAGUUGCGGUGGGAAAUUGGGUAACUGAAUUAACUGAAUCCAUUUUAAUGCUUUUACAUGAUUUGUAAGCACAGAUAGGGGUUUGAUUGACGUACAUGUAAAUAGUGUUAGUGUCUUUAUUUGAAAAUGUGAUUCUUAAAAAUAAAUUCAUCCAUGUUUUGCAAGUAAGGCUGGAACCUAUCAUAGAAAUUCUGCUGACACUUAUGAACCAGAAUCAUUCAAAAACCCAAGGCUAGAAAUAUAAUACUGCCUAUAAUUCCAUGUUUAACACAUUCCUUAUUAAAUUCUAUUUUUAUUUGAACCAUUUAUUUACUGACUUAACUGCAUAUCCACAGCACACAAAACCCCGAAUAAGGAGUAUGCAUAAAUACAGAGAUGAAUGGAAAACAGGCCUCAACUAGUUUACAGUUAGGUGUGAAAAACUGUAUAAAGUGGGAAACAGAACUGAAUCAAACGUCUAUGAAUGGUAACGCAGGUAUGUGCACAGAGUAGUUUGGAUAUCUGUAAGGAAAGGGAACCCUCUCACUUUGGGCAUUUUGCGUUAUCCAUAAGUCUGGUCCCGGAUGAUAGCAGGGUAUAAAUAUUUGUUCGAGUUUAUUCAGCUUUUGUUACUUUGUAGAAUUGAGGGUACCAGCAUUUCGGUUCUCAAGGUUCUGAUGGUCUUCCCGAGAACAUACUGAUGCUGCAGUUAGCACUUCCCUUCGGCUUUGCAAAGUGCCACUGCCAGGUCAUGCUAUCUCUGGGCUUGAGGACGUCAGGUUUUCAGUCUGUUUCACUCUAUUUUUGCCCUUUUAUUUGCAUCGUUAAGUUUUGGAGUUUUUUCCUUCCCUAAACUUUUGGUUUCAGAAUCAGGGAUGGUGACUGCAAGCUCUAGAGCCCGUUCGUUUCCUCUUGUGAUUCUUGAACGUUGGAUCGUGUUAUUCACAAAGCAUCGCACUUGUUUCAGCACCAGAAAUAUAGCAUGACCUUUAAAAAAAAAAAAAAGUAUUAAGGAAAUAAUUCUAUGCCCCUUUUACCUUUCUGAUGAUGAGCACAGACUCAUCGAACGAGCUACAGAAUGGCAUUAAGUGCACAUCCAAAUCAUCAACAUUUUAAAUGUCUCUCUACAAAUCGAAAGGUUUGUUUUUCAGAGUGUUAAAUUCUAAAUCAUAGGUAUGUGAAGGUUCAGACUUCAUAGACACGAAGCAGGAAAACAACCUGAUUUGCAGUGGUUAAUACCAAGGAAACUAUGUAAAGUGGGAAAAGAUGGUCUUAGAAUAUGUUUGUACUUCCCUGGCAUUUUCGCAGAAAACAGGAACAGUAGCCCUCUUAGGCAGCUGCCUUUAUAACUGAAAGACAGAAAGCUUAUGCUGUUCGCUUUCUGUGGCCAUUUUCAUUUGAUGUCCAAGGAAAGAAAUUCAUGGUCUCCAUGAGGAGCAGGAGAAGUCAAAAAGGAACAGCACAAAUCUAGAAGAGAAGCAGGUCACAGCUCUGGACUGAGUUCCUGUACAAUUUGGUUUCUCACUUUUUCUCCUUAACUGUCAGCCACACAAACUCUAGUUUUCAGUGUCGAAGGUACGGUGUGAGCAUUUAUUCCUGACGCUAAUGGUAAAGGAUGCUGAGUGCUUCCACAGACAACAGAAGAUUAUGGUUCUGAUUCUCUCUUUUAACAGUUUCAUUGAAUUUAAUGUCCUGUGUCUUUUAUAUGACAUAAAAUUCACCCACAUACAGUUUGUUGGGUUUUAAGACACUUACACAGUUGUGCAGCCAUCAUCACAAUCUAGUUUUAGAACAUUUCCAUCACCAAAACGUUCCCUUGUAUCCAUUUGUGGUUAAUCCCCAUCCUGACCCCUAGCCCCAGGGAACUACCAAUUUGCUUUCUGUCUUUAGUUUUGCCUCUUACACAAAUUUCAUAUAAAUGGAAUCAUACACACUUUAGUCUUUUGGACCUGGGUGCUUCCAUUUAUCAUCCUGUUUUGAGUAUCAGAAGUAUUGCAUAUAUUUGUGUUUGUUCCUUUUCAUUAUCAAGUAGUAUUCCAUUGUGUGGGUGGACUGCAUUUUGUUUAUAUGUUUACUGCUUGAUGGACAUUUGGGUUUUUUGCAGUUUUGGCUUAUUAUGAAUAGUGUUUAAGUGUCUUUAUGUAGACCUACUUCUUUUGGGCAUGGCUUGGCCAUAGGGUAAGGGUAUGUUUAACUUUUCAAGAAACUGCUAAACUGUUUUUCCAAAGUGGCUGCAGCAUAUUUCCACCAGUAGUGUUUAAGGUUCCCAGUUUUUUGUGUUUUUGUUUGUUUGUUUGUUUGUUUGUUUGUUUUUUAUAGAGAGUGAGUGCAAGCUGGGGAGAGGGGCAGAGAGAGAAUCUGAAGCAGGCUCCAUGCUCAGCGUGGAGCCUGAUGCAGGGCUCAAUCCCACAACCCUGGAAUCAUGACCUGAGCCAAUCAAGAGUUGAUGCUCAACCAACUGAGCCACCCAGGCGCUCCUAAGGUUCCCAGUUUCUCUGUCUCCUCAUCAGCCCUUGGAAUUGUCAGACAUCUUUAUUUUAACCAUUCUCAUGGGAGUUGAACUAUGCUUUCUAUACUUCUUUUAUUUCUUGUGAGGAUCUCAAAGUAUCUCUAUACCCCAAUAUGCUUGUGUCCCGCAUUUUACAGAUCAGAAGGCAGUAGAGCAGUACCUGGAGAAUCUAAAUGUCUCACCCAAGAUCCCCAAAUGAAUCACUGAGCUUAGAGUCCUCAUGCAGCAGUUGGGGACACAGCAGCCUGUUUUCCAACUCGUGGCUCCCUGUGACUCAGGGCCUUCUUUGUCCUCAUAGCUUUGUUGGGUGUGGCUUUCUUUUGAUCUUUGUAGAAUGAUCAUUCUUAUCCUCUGUGGAAUUUUGUCUGAUGAAAUCCAGUUGUUUUCUGCAGAGAUGUGCUCGUGUCUUGGAGAGGUGCUCCUUAGCUGCAGUACACAGGCUUGUGUGGCUCAGGCCUGGCUCCCAAGGCGGGCCCUGUGGACUGUGCCACCACGUGUCAUCCUGUCAAAGGGGGUAGAUGCUUGCCUCACCAGAGCCUUGUGGGAGUCAAGUGAGGUGACUUAUCGAAAACAGCUGGCAUGUACUAAAUAUUUAAUACAUUUUACAGCACCUCUUCAGAUGACUGUGAAGGGCUGAUUAUCUUGUGGUGUGUGGAUGGUAACACCACUCUUAUGGGUUUUUUUUGUCUGUACAGUGAGGCAGGAAAACAUUCUUAAAUUUAUAUACUAAUUUUAAAAAAUCAGCCAUGGUUUCUUAUUGUUCUUUGGUCUGCAGCAAAUGUAGCAGUAGUACUUUUAUAAGUUUGUAUGUUUAGUCCCUGUCUUUUGGCUUCACUCAAGAAGACUAAUCCUACUUCUCAGAGCUACUGGAUCAAUUCAUGUGUGUCUCCCUUCGGUUUGUCCACUCUGGUAGAAUAAGGUGUUGUUGUUCCGUGUUCCAAGUUGAAGUGCUCAAAGUGUUCUUUAGGCUAUAAGAUCUGUGUUCUAGCAAAGUUCGGCUUUAGAUCAGUCUAUAAUCAUUUCUUACACUCAACGUGUCAUUGCUUUUGUUUCUUUGGACCAAAAUGUUCUGAUAUGAAGUUCCUUUGAAGGCUGGUGGGGUUUAUACAAAUACCCAGCUAAUGAAAAGCACUUAAAUAUGGGGCACACCUCCCCACUCCAUUGUCACUUUGCAGGUCAUGUUGAAGAGAAGGUUCCAGUUAACCUCUGUUGCCUUUUGCUGGCCACAGUUGUAGUGUUUAUUUCAUGACAAAAAGUGAAUUCUAGGUAGUUGUCUGUGAGAUGAUUAUUUUCUCUGAAAUGACUCUUGGUCACGUUGAGUUUCUAAGUGUUAAAGGGGAACGUGGUUUUUGGAUCUGUGAAAAAUUUCAUCUUGGUCUCUGGCUGCCACACAGAACAGGAGCUAAAAGGUUGAGAACUUCAGAAACUAGCCUCCCCACCCCCAAGGAGCUGUCUAAAAUGACUGGAGGAGCGUGUGCGGGGCUGUAAUGUUAUGAAAGCUACUGGAGGUCCUAAGCGCGCAGGACCAUGAGGGGGGAAAUGGAGGGGAAUGUCCCAUGGAAAGUUGAACAACUCCAGUUUCAACUUAUUUGGGAGGCCAUACGGGAUGGAGCUGUUAGACAUAGGGAAGACCUUACGGCUUCUCCAAGGCCAGCCUUUCUGCAUGUGAAAACACGGGGGCCUUGAGAAUAUUUCGGUCCCAGGCUGGAGUGCCCGCCUGGAACCAGAGCCCACGUCUGUCCCCAUUUUUGCUGUCUUCACCUGGGCACUUCCCCCAAAGCAGGGUGUGGGGGCAGAGCGGCUUUGGACUCCGGUGAGGAGAAGUGGGUCCCGCUGGUCUUUGUUUUGUUGUAGGGCAUGGACAGCUGAGGGAGGCCUGGAAAGAAGGUCUGGGGGACUCAGAAUGUCCCUACAAGGCCACUCCUUGUCACCUAGAAACACAUCCGGAGUGAGGGCCCUUUCCUAGCAUACAGAGGCUUGGGUAGGCACCGACCAGGUCUGAUUUUGAGGGCUCGGUCAUUUCCGAACGCAGAGAAAGACUUCAUGGUGAGACAGCUGGGUGUCUGCAAGGGUGGACGUGGACAUUUGCUUUUCAUAAUAAAUGAGUGAAUUUUACAAGGCACAGAUUAUUUGAAGUUUUUGUGAUGCUUAUCACAGGCCAGGCAACUGCAACACGAAAAUGUUGUUGGGGUAGUUUUUUUAAUCAGACAUAAGUGUGACCAGAUUACUAGGCAUUUUAUUUUGGAAUGUGGUAAAGGCACACCCACAAAUGCCUUUUCUUCAGUCUGUGCAGAUAUCUUCAAUGUUUAUUCUAAAAUGCAAGGCUGCUUUCUGUGUUUCUACAUAUUCCUACCUCGAUGUAUCGCACAUUUAGAGUUAUGUUUUUCUUCAGUGUCUCUGACUUGGCUUGUGGCUUACAGGCCAAAUCAAACCACCUCCACCUCCAAAACAGUAUUGAUAAAACCAGUGCUGAACUUGGAUUAUGAAAGGUUUAGUUCCCAGAACUUGCUGUACUGUUGGCAGGGCAAAGUGAGUAGGAAUAUUAUGAUCUAGGGGAAAAACUGCUUGUGUUUUAUCUGCAACACAGCUGGCAGAUACAGAAGGAUAGUGCCCCAAAUGGGCAGACGAAAAGGGGGAGUGGGUACUGAGCUGCCUCAGACUUGCAGAAGGCACCCUGUCCCCUCACUCCCAGCAAAAUGAAAGGGGCUGGAGAGAAGGCACGGGAUGAGAUUCCUGCACUGCUGAUCUGGUAUACUUUGAGUCUUCUUUUGAGAUUAAGUCCCUGGCUUGGUCAACAGUAGCAUUACCCAGUCCUAGAGCACCAGAUUAUCAUAAGACAAAUUUCGAUGAUGCUGAACUGUCCUUCAACAAAGGAUUACUGCUGCACCCGCACGCACAUAUAACUUGGUUGGUAUGCAUGCAGACGCACACACGCAUGUGCACACACAUUUACCUGUUCCAUCGACCUCUGGCCUCCAAGCAGGGGAGGUUAGGGCUGAGGCCUGCUAUUGUGACCACUGUCUCCCAUCUCAGAGGGAAGCUGCAGACUCUGUUUCCACAGCUGGCACUGUUUGAGUCUGACUCAUGCUCCCUGUGCGUAAUGCAAAGUCAUUGUCAUUGUGAGCCAUCUGAGGGAGAGGUUUGGUGGAAAAAGUGACGGUGGAGCAAAGCAGGCUCCAGAGCAGGGGGUGAAAGAUAUGUUUUUUGUUUAGUUUCGCUGAACUUGUAGUCACUUUUCUGAGAACUGCCGUCAUCCUGCUAGAGUUGGAGAUGCUAGAAGAGAGAUCUGGCUUAUUGCUGCAGGACUCCUCACUCUUGUGUUUACAUUCUUAAAACAGGAGGAGGGGAGGAGAGUAAACUAAGUGAUUGUUGUAGAUUUUGAACAUGUAUCCAUAAUUUCUCAGUUUCCAGUUUUUUGUAUCCAGCCUGUUUUGUGAUUGUGUACUGUUGCAGAGAAGGGGAUAUACUAUAAAUAUGUGCAAACUUCAGUGUUCAAAUUAUUUGUAUUCAAAAGGAACUUCCAAUAAUAGGGAGGGUGAGACAUGUCAUUUACAAGAGGGUUAAGAAUAAAGAAGUUAUCUCUAUGCUAUUUUUGAUGGGACUUUUUCCUAUGAAAAACAGUUACCAGCAUAUAUGGAAACACUUCCUCAUUUUUUAAAGACCAUUCAUUUUAGUAUCAGAAGUAGUUGAAAAUCAAAAUAAAGUGGUUAUUUUAAUAAUAGCUCAGUAGAAAGAGUUCAUGUGUCAAGAGCAUUUACCUCCCAAACAGUUUUCUGACUCUAGUUUUCUUAGCAAGAAAAAUGUUAAUCUGUUGUGGAUGGACACUUUUUUUCCCCUCUUCUCAGAACAUGUGUGGUUUCCAUUAACUUCUUUCUCCACAGAACUUUGGAGAUGGCCACCACUGAUGCCUGUGGGUCAUCUGUGCUCCUAGAAUUGAACUGAAAUGGUACAGUACAUUUCUCCCCCUCUAUUGUCCUUCACGACAUGGAAUUCAUAGUCAGAUAGAUGAAUUGAAAUCCCAUCUUUAUCCCUUACUAGCUGUUUUACCCUGGACAAACUAGCCAGUGUAAGCCUCAGUUUCCUCAUCCGUAAAAUAGUUACUGUAAAGCAUUUAGCAAAGAGCUGCCACUAGAUCAUUGUUCACUGAUACUAGUUAUUAGCGUUAUUGGUGAUAGGCUUUUCCAAUACCAUCAUCAGGGGUGAAAGGCAUUUAUCAUAUGUGGUGUAUUGAGAGAACAGAAGGAGCCCUGAGAAGCAAUAAGAUAGAUCAAGAAAUGUAGCCACAGAAGAAUGGCCACGUUGGGAACAUCAGCCUGGCAUCUCUGGACCAGCUGGAGUGUCCCCAGCAUUAAGACCAGGGAGGCAGCCCAGUGACUUCUCUGGCAGGUCUCAGCUACGCCUAAAGGUACACCUCUCUCCCAAGCUGACCCAGGAGUCUGCUCUGUGGGGCCACUCUGCUUUAGACAAAUGCUGCUUUGGGUUCUGUUGGAAGUUUCCACUAGGCUCCUCCGAGACAGUUUUAGUUGGAAGUCCUCAGAGAGGUUUUAUUGAUUUGGGUUGAGGUCUUACUUAAAGUCAUCUCAAUCAUCAAAAGGUCUGGCUAUCCAGAAAUACAGUGCUGGUGUCUGAGCACUGUAGAAUUCCAGGAAGUUAUCAAAAAUAAGCGUUGAGAUACCCCCGCCCCCCAGCAACCAUAGAGGUCUGAGUUUACAAUAACUAUUAUUCUUAUGUAGAGCUGGCUCCAAAUAGUGAGUUUCCCCAGGCGCAGACUUACUAAUAGAAACCCACUUAGACACUGAAGAAAUGGGCCCAGUGUUUUUCUCAACUAUAAGUAAUGUAUUAUGCAUGAUUUAAAAAGGCUUCUCAGAAUGUCCUUGCUUAUGUAAAUCAAGAAUCAAUAUUUUUUAGAAAGAAGUUUUUAUAGAUAAGCCAUCACAUUAUUUGAUAAUCAGACAUCAUUUUCAAGUAGUUAAAAGGGUCAUUGGACAAAACCCAGUGGACUGACUUUGCUCCCUAAUUGCUAAGGAUUGAAACUCCACAUACCCUCUAAAUUAUGAACAGGCUUGAAUUUUUUAUGGGAAAGAAAUUAUUUUUUUAUGUAGGAUAAUUUUCAUGUCAACGUUAUAUUAGCCAGCUAGCUCUAUCAGGUUAUGCACGUUGCUGCUUUUACUCACCUGAUCCCUACUUUUCCUCUGUGAAGUUUAUUUUAAAUAAGAGAUUCAAGAAUGAGAGAGAAAGUAGGUUUGGAACGAGGGGAAUGAAUCAUGGGAAAACACUGCUGGUCCUUUUCAUUCGUCCUUGACAUUCUUGGAAUAUUCUUACCUCUGUUGACAGAGAGCAGCAGUUCAGCUGCAAGGCUUGCUAGCAGUAAGGGGCAUUGUGGGGCCCCCUGAGGAGGCGGUCGCUGGAACAUUGUCCCCGUUUUCUCCCAAGCAGUGCCUUACCUCUCUGUGAGUGGCGAGAGCCACUGGAAGGAUUUCAUGGGGGAUGGGGCGGGGGGGAGGGGGGGGGAGCUCAGCAGAGGGCAGCACUGUGACCCCGUGUGAGUGCUGACUGCCCCAGAGAUGGCAUGUUCCUAUACUCUGGGCCAAGUGGGGGCCCUGCCAGCCAGUGUGUCUCCGAGUACAGGCAGAUUGCUGGUAGGGGGAACAGUUUUAUUGGUUUUAUUGCUUCUGAAAAUAGAGGAAAUACUCAAGAGUGGUGGGAGAGAGGAGGAUAAGUAUAGCGUUUCCGUUUUCCUGCUCAUUCUGUUCUUCACAGCAUUUCAUUUUUCUUAAGAUGGAUUUUUAUCCUGCCAACUUCAACAGAAGAUAAUUGCCUACCAUUUCUAUCAGAUUGGCCCUCUCAUCACUUGUGUACUUACCGUUGUUUGUUUAUUUUUCCUACUCAAACUUUUGUACAAGGUGGUCCUGAAGGUGCUUGUCCGUAGACGUGGCACAGGUAUCGUGGGUUGCGGCGGGACCUCCCGUGAGUAGAUGGCAGGAGCAGUCUUGGUGUCCUAGCUAUGGAUGGACAGAGAUUCUGGAUACUGACUACCUUGUCCUUGUCCUUGUCCUUGUUUCUUCCAUGACCCAUUUCCUAGAGGGCUAUUCCACGUGCUUGUCACCCUGCCCCUUCCAUCAGCCCACAGUGCCCAGAACCUGUUCCUUGUGCACAGGAACGGUGCCGGAUGCCAUCCAGCAUGUUACCUUGCUGUGAAGGCAGCUAGCACCCUGGCUGUGAGGCACUGCCCAGCUGAGCAAAGCAGUGAGUGUAUUUAGGAGGUGCUUGGCAAAAGUGGACUCGGUAGGAGAUGGGAGGGGAAGGCAGGCUAGGUCGUCUUAGGGCAUCGUACACGGUGUGCCUGUUUACCAGACUGAAGUUUGUCGUUAUGUAAAAUUAUUAAGUAGGUACCCAUUUUAACAAAUAAAACUAACUUUGAGGUUUGGGAGGUAAGUGGCUUGUGUUAGAUUUUCGGCACAUAAACUGAAUAUAAGCAUUUCCCUAGUUUCUCAUUUCUUAAUUGUUCAGAGUGUCCAUUAGCAUGCUUAUCCUAGUGCCUGGCCUAGGUUUGCCCAUUACAAAGGUCCUAUGUUCAUAGGGCAGUGGACUCUGCGUUCCCAGGCCCCAGCACAGUCCCCGCCGGCAGUGUGCAGUAAUAAGUAAGCUACUCGUAGUUACCGGCUAAUAGGGCCAUGACCCGGUUUGAACUCCAUAAUGAGGAAAGAGCAGAUUUAUUUGCUCCCCCUGUGCGCCUCCCUCCCUGCCAUGCUCCUUUAUUAUCUUUAAGAGGAAAUUGAAUAGCAAAAUUCUGCAUUCUCAUAAUGUUAAUGGCCUGAUGUCAUCUUUUCCAGUCUGGAGUCAAGAGAGAGGGAUGACCAAAACACAGAUUUAACAUUUCAUAGCUGUCCAGAGCUUCAGCUGUAGGCUCUAUGGGUAUAUGUGUGUAUAUGUUUUCAACAGCUUCUGUAAGGUGUAAUGUAAACAGUGUGAAAUUCAGUGUGUAAUUCAUUGGUUUCUAAUAAUUUUGCCAAGUUGUGCGGUCAUCACCAGACUCCAGUGUUAGAACAUUUCCGUCGUCCUUGAAAGAUCCUUGGUGCCCAUUAGCAGUGGCUCCCUCCCCAUUUCCCCCCACCCCUGCUCCCCAGCCAUGGGCAACCAGUCAUCUAUUUGCUCUUCAUUUAGAUUGGCCUUUCUGCACAUUUCCUAUCAGUGGAAUCAAUGUGGUUUUAAUACAUUUGCCUUCUUUCACUUAGCAUAACGUUUUUGGGGUUCACCCAUAUUAUAGCAUGUAUCAGUAGUUUGUUCCUUUUUAUUCUUGAGUAGUAUUCUGUUGGAUGGAUAUACCACAUUUUGCCUGUCUCUUCACUCUUUAAUGGACAUUUGGGUUGUUUCUGGUUUGGGGCUAUCAUAGAUGCUGCUGCUAUAAAGACUCACAGAACUUUUUGUGUGGACGUGUGUUUUCGGUUCUUUUGGGUAGGUGCCUAGGAGUAUUACAGUAAAUUUAUGUGUAACUUAUUAAGAAACUGCCAGAUUGUUUUCCAAAAAAACUAUAUCCUGUUACAUUCCCAGAAGUGAGUGAUGUAUGAGGGUUCUAGUUUCUCCACACCCUAACCACAGGCUAUAUUUAAGGAAUAACCUUAAUUUUUAACUUUUAUUUGAUAUUCUAUGCAUAAAAGAAAGGUAGAAACUGUUUUAGUGUUUUUGUAACUUUUCAAGCAUUGUUAACACAAUUUAACCGAAACUGUAGUCCUUGGUACUCUGUCUUCUCCAAUCUCCGGGGUCUACCACCAGUCAGUGGUGCAAUAGUUUGCAGUAGUUUUACAAUGUUCCAUUUAAUUACGUUGUGUGUGUGUGUGUGUGUGUGUGUGUGUGUGUGUGUGUGGACUUGAUAUGAAGUAUGCAGGGUAUGUGUGUAUGUGUGCUGUUAAUUGUCUCAACAUUAAAUUAGUUUACUUUGAGAAGGGAUUUUAUUUUUUGGACUUUUCUUUUUAGUUUCUCUGUUCAGACAAAAGGUUAUAAGUUUAUAUUUCUUUUUUUUUUUUUUAAGUUUAUUUAUUUUGAGAGAGAGUACACACAAGUGGGGGAGGGGCAGAGAGAGAAGGAGGGAGAGAGAAUCCCAAGCAGGCUUCACGCUGUCAGCACAGAGCCCGACUCAGGGUUCGAACCCACGGACUGUGAGACCAUGACCUGAGCAGAAGUCAGGAGUCAGAUGCUUAACCAACUGAGCUACCUAAGCGCCCCAAGUUUAUAUUUCUAACUAUACAGAUUGUCUUAAUAUAGAGUAGACACAUGUGUUGUAGAACCAUGUUUUAUGGUACUUUAAAUAAUCAAAUGGUAAGUUUCUAGUUUAUAGAAUUAGGUAGCUUUUAAGCAUUCUUUAUUAAAAAUGCAAGUAGAGGUUUUUGUAUUAAUCUGGGCCAUUUCCAGAGGCAUCACAAAAGUUGUGCAGGAAUAAUUUAUCACAUAAUUUGACAUGGCAGGUAUUUCUGUGCACUUUCAAGACCAAGUGGUAAAAGUUGCUUAUUAUUUUUGUGUACUCUAGGAUUUGCAGGUGUGUUUUAUUCUGACAGUGAGCUUAUCAAAUAAGCAUUUUUCUAAGCACAUCCUAGUCACAGCCAAGCUUCCUGGGUGAUGUCUGUGGCUGCUCCAUGGGUGCCUCGGGACACCUGCAGGCCUGCUUGUCUUUUGAAUUUGUGCUUGUCCAGAGUUGGCUUUAGCAGUGACUGGAUAAAGAUAACGGUUUUUCAGGGAUGAGAGCACCUGACCUCCCAAGAAGAAAGGAUGAGAGGGGUACCCAAGUGCCAAGUGACAGAAGUCCAUGGGAAGGAAACAGCAGCAGAGAUGUUCUCCUGUGUCCUGAUGGCUGAAGAGACCACCGCAGCUGAAUACAAUUGGCAUGAACUGUCCUAGUCUCCAUAUCUGUUCUGACACUUUGACAUGUGGGAGCAGUUUGGUAUAAAGGAGUAGUUCUCAAGGGGCAGAAUCGCCCCCAUGAGGAUGAUGUGGUUAUCACGGCAGUUGGGGGGCACUGUGGCCAUUAGUGGGCUGCGUCCAGGAACCGUGUACCUACAGUUGUAGUUCUUCUCAGGGUGGCGAGGAAUCAGCUGCUUUCCUCAGCGUCUGGGUGCCUGCUGGAGAGUUACACAGGUGAAAAUCCUGGCUCUAAUCUAACUCUUGUAUACACAGUUUUAAUAUUUACCAAUUUUCUCUAGGAAUGUGACUGCCAAGUAAAUCUGUGAGGAUUGUAUGUUGUUGAAUUUUCCCCAAAGUGCUUGCCAUUUCAGAAAACUUUGUCCUCAGUGGGAAUGCUUUUGUGUCUGAGUAACUACACAGCGUGCUUGAUUCAGUUUGCAUUAAUAGCUGUGUGUUUAUGGGGAUUCUUCAGGCCUCUCAUUGCUUCAUUAUGUCUUUUAGGGUUCAUGGGUUUGUAAAUACCGCAGUGCACAUUACUACAUUUGGACCUGCUUUCCUUUGACUUCUCCUUUAUGUUACAGAUGGGGCAUUCUGUUAAGUUCUCCCUCCCAUUAUUUGUGGUAUGUGUGUUAGGCUAUCUAAGGAUUUCUCUUUGAGUUAGUUUUAAAAGCGAGGCAUUGUUUCUGAUAACCAUGAGAGCCAUUGGCUCCACGUUCCAAUAGGCUUUCAGUCCAUGUUACAGGUGUGUGUGGAAGGGGGUGUCCCCAGCUGAUGGGAGGUGCAGGGGGAGCUGAGUUUGCAGAUACCUGUGGAGGGCAGGGUGCUGCAUGUCACUGAGCUGUGCUCCUUUGCUGUAAAUGGAUUCUCCUGUGGGCUCUGUAGUACUCCCUGGGACUACUUGCUGUCUCCUCCAGUGCAGAACCCUCCCCUCCGUAGGGAAGGGGGGCGGGGGGAUGGUCACGAGGCUAGUCACAUAUUUCUGAGAAGAGAUGCAGAGUGGAGAGUGAAGAACUGAGCUGUCGGGCUUCAUGAUGACAUUACCUAAUUCCUUAGGGGCGCUGCAUAGACGCACACAUUAAAUCAUCUUACCAGUCUCAGUUUUCACAGCCUUGGCCCUUCUGUCUGUGUGUGUUCCUGACAAGGAGCUGUGCCCCCUGAUACACACUGGAGCAGCCCCUUCGGGCCUGUGUUUUGUUAGCAGGGCAGUUAGUUACUCGGAGCCCUCACCUGCAAGUGUCCUUCUCCCUGUGAGUGACAGUUUCCCCUCCUGGGCCCUCAGACACCUGCCAGCCUGUCAUCACUCUGGGCCACUUUGUGCCAUGCCAGUCCCUCUUCAUCCCUGGGUUUUCGAGACGUGAUAUUUGACCGGCUCCUAACGAUCUUAGCACUGAUUCAAGUUUGCAGAUUUUCCGAUACUAAUUAUUCUCCUUCUAAUUGUUACUGAUAUUUUGGGCAUUUCAGUGCUUGUAAGUGCCUUCUCCAACAGCUUAUUAGGGACACAAGGAGGGAAAAAAAUUAAUUCAGCUUUUUCAUGGAAGCUCCUGAGAAAGAUUUACUGGGGCAGGGACUUGGAAUUAAUUUUAAUUUAGUUUAUUUGUAAUAACCCAAGUCCACUGUUAAUAGAACAACUUGAGUUUCCACUAAGCCAUGCGUACGCCUUUGAGAGUUUCUUGGUAAAAUCUGAAUGACACUGCAGGGUAGCCUGGGCCACAGUAUGCCCGCCCCACGGGGCUGAUUGAGUGGGCUCUCUGGGGAUCCCAGUUUAUGUUGCUCGAAUUGUUGGACAUCUAGAUCGAGUGCUAACUGGUGCAGAGUGGUAUGUCCCCAGUUUCUACACAAAAUAACUUCAGUUUGUUCUCCUGUGUGGCACCUUUCCUGUAUUUUUACUUCAGCAUGUUUAACUCUGUUUCUCGUUUCAAAUCAACGUGAGCCAAGCAAAUCAACAUUUUUUUUGUUGCAAAAGUGGUAUACUGUCAAUUAGAGAAAACUUAGGAAAUACAGGAAAGGAUCAAGAAGAGGGUUGAAAACUGACAGUAAUCCAGUCAUCCAGAGAGCUACUUACUCUUAACAUUUUAGUGUUUGUCUUUUAAGUCUCUUAGUGAAAAAACUUAUUGAAAAAGAAUGGGAGUGUGUUUUGUGUUUAUGACUUCAAAGGUGGUUCAUUCAGGCUACUUUUUAUUUUUUCCUAAUUAACUGAAUUCAGUGAUUUUGAAAUUCUGCCUUUUUGGAAAGGUCUGUUUUAUACCUUUCAUAAAAAGUUAACUUGCUUGACAGUGAAUGCUAGAAUCCUGGCUUUCCCAGGGACUUGUGUACCUUAACUAAAUCCGUGUGGAAAUGACCCUGUGUGUACUAGAGUAAACCUUUGUAAACGCAAUUGUCACGAUCUCACGAAUGGAUGCCGGGAGUGGGUGUCCAGCGCUUGUGGGAUACUCCUUUUACCUUUGACUUUCUGCGUGUGGCCGCUGGUGUAAACAGUGGCAGCAACAUGCUGUGUCUCUGCUUCCUCUCUCAUUGUGAAUCAGACAGACAUCCAUUUCAGGAUCUGAGGGUAUGCUACCAGCUCGCCUCAUGACUUGUGGGUCGAGCUUGCAGUCACAGUAUGGGAACUAUGGAAGAUGCCUCUGUUCAUCAGUUAAAUAGGGGGCUAUUUCUGUUCCACUUCAAGAGUUAUGCUGAAAUUGAUACUCCCAGCUUGUUUCUAAGGAAUAUGCAGUUACACAGCCAUCUUGUCUUUUCUGGCUUCUAUUAAAAUGCAAAUAGUCUUAACUUCAAAGUAGUAUAAUUGAGUCCUGAACAGGGGUAUAACUGAUGCCGUGCCUCUCUGGGUUUUGUUUUUGUUUUUGUUUUUGUUUUUGUUUUUGCAGCCAGGCUGGCUUUUCUGGCUAUCUUGCUUUCUACAUUGGUGAAAACCCCUCCCAGAGAGGCUUCGUCCCAGGCUACUGGAAAGUCUGGCAUGUGCAUUGCCUAUUUCAUCCUUGGGGUGUGCAGGACAUACUCUGGUUAGGCACGGCCCACAUGUUCCCAGCAUGCCAGAAUGUGAUAUCUGGUAGGUCUUCAUUUUAACGUGAGAAGAAAGCAAGUCCCUUAGAAAAAUUUUACAGCAGCUGAUACCUGCCGAGUCGUGGCUGUCCGUGAAAGGUCAGGUGCACAGCUCCUUGACAAUGCCCUAACAGUGCCAGCUGGUGUGGAGCAUGACAUCAGAGCUGCACAGUCAUGAAAAUGAAAGGGGCCACUGGGGUUUAGUCCCCCGAGGAACCAAAGAAUUGCAGAAGCUUCCCUGUGCAUCUUGAAUACUCUUCCCAGCCCAGCUCCCAGAGGGUAGCAGAAUUAAAACACGAGCUUCCUAAACUGUUA